rnacentral:rRNA from 1 species
AGUGAACGCUGGCGGUUGGCCUAACACAUGCAAGUCGAACGGCAGCACAGUAAGAGCUUGCUCUUACGGGUGGCGAGUGGCGGACGGGUGAGGAAUACAUCGGAAUCUACUUUUUCGUGGGGGAUAACGUAGGGAAACUUACGCUAAUACCGCAUACGACCUACGGGUGAAAGCAGGGGAUCUUCGGACCUUGCGCGAUUGAAUGAGCCGAUGUCGGAUUAGCUAGUUGGCGGGGUAAAGGCCCACCAAGGCGACGAUCCGUAGCUGGUCUGAGAGGAUGAUCAGCCACACUGGAACUGAGACACGGUCCAGACUCCUACGGGAGGCAGCAGUGGGGAAUAUUGGACAAUGGGCGCAAGCCUGAUCCAGCCAUACCGCGUGGGUGAAGAAGGCCUUCGGGUUGUAAAGCCCUUUUGUUGGGAAAGAAAAGCAGCAGGUUAAUACCCCGCUGUUCUGACGGUACCCAAAGAAUAAGCACCGGCCAACUUCGUG